rnacentral:piRNA from 1 species
UCCAAAGGGCCUGGGCUCUGGA